rnacentral:rRNA from 1 species
GACGAACGCUGGCGGCGUGCCUAAUACAUGCAAGUCGAACGCUUUGAUUUUCACCGGAGCUUGCUCCACCGAAAAUCAAAGAGUGGCGGACGGGUGAGUAACACGUGGGCAACCUGCCCAACAGAGGGGGAUAACACUUGGAAACAGGUGCUAAUACCGCAUAAUUUGUUUUCCCGCAUGGGAGAAUAAUAAAAGACGCUUCAGUGUCACUGUUGGAUGGGCCCGCGCUGCAUUAGUUAGUUGGUGGGGUAAUGGCCUACCAAGACCGUGAUGCAUAGCCGACCUGAGAGGGUGAUCGGCCACACUGGGACUGAGACACGGCCCAGACUCCUACGGGAGGCAGCAGUAGGGAAUCUUCGGCAAUGGACGAAAGUCUGACCGAGCAACGCCGCGUGAGUGAAGAAGGUUUUCGGAUCGUAAAACUCUGUUGUUAGAGAAGAACAAGUGGGAGAGUAACUGUUCCCACCUUGACGGUAUCUAACCAGAAAGCCACGGCUAACUACGUGCCAGCAGCCGCGGUAAUACGUAGGUGGCAAGCGUUGUCCGGAUUUAUUGGGCGUAAAGCGAGCGCAGGCGGUUUCUUAAGUCUGAUGUGAAAGCCCUCGGCUCAACCGAGGAAGGUCAUUGGAAACUGGGGAACUUGAAUGCAGAAGAGGAGAGUGGAAUUCCAUGUGUAGCGGUGAAAUGCGUAGAUAUAUGGAGGAACACCAGUGGCGAAGGCGACUCUCUGGUCUGUAAUUGACGCUGAGGCUCGAAAGCGUGGGGGAGCAAACAGG